rnacentral:rRNA from 1 species
CAGCGGUAUCGAAAGCUUGCUUUCGGUAGCCGGCGACCGGCGCACGGGUGAGUAACGCGUAUCGAACCUGCCUCAUACUCGGGAAUAGCCUUGCGAAAGUAAGAUUAAUGCCCGGUGUUUUCAGAGUCCCGCAUGAGGCUUUGAACAAAGAUUUAUCGGUAUGAGAUGGCGAUGCGUCCCAUUAGCUUGUUGGCGGGGUAACGGCCCACCAAGGCAUCGAUGGGUAGGGGUUCUGAGAGGAAGGUCCCCCACAUUGGAACUGAGACACGGUCCAAACUCCUACGGGAGGCAGCAGUGAGGAAUAUUGGUCAAUGGGCGGAAGCCUGAACCAGCCAAGUAGCGUGCAGGAAGACGGCCCUCCGGGUUGUAAACUGCUUUUAGUUGGGAAUAAAACGGGGCUCGUGAGCCCCCUUGCAUGUACCAUCAGAAAAAGGACCGGCUAAUUCCGUGCCAGCAGCCGCGGUAAUACGGAAGGUCCGGGCGUUAUCCGGAUUUAUUGGGUUUAAAGGGAGCGCAGGCGGACCUUUAAGUCAGCUGUGAAAUACGGCGGCUCAACCGUCGAACUGCAGUUGAUACUGGAGGUCUUGAGUGCACACAGGGAUGCUGGAAUUCAUGGUGUAGCGGUGAAAUGCUCAGAUAUCAUGAAGAACUCCGAUCGCGAAGGCAGGCAUCCGGGGUGCAACUGACGCUGAGGCUCGAAAGUGCGGGUAUCAAACAGGAUUAGAUACCCUGGUAGUCCGCACAGUAAACGAUGAAUACUCGCGGUUUGCGAUACAGUGUAAGCCGCCAAGCGAAAGCGUUAAGUAUUCCACCUGGGGAGUACGCCGGCAACGGUGAAACUCAAAGGAAUUGACG